UGCACUGUAUGGUAUCUGCACCCAGCAGUGUCUUCCUGAUGGGCUGUUCAAAAAGCAGUGCUACAGUAUUUCAGCAGCUGGCAUCGUUGGUUUUCAUGCAGAUGUGCUGGUUAAACUUGGUAUUUCUGUUGAAACAAGU
ensembl:snoRNA